AAGAACUUGUCAAAGACUGCUGAACAGCUAUGAAAAUGUGGAAACAAACACUCCUGGUGAAUGAAUAAGCUCACCAAUUUGGAACAGGUUUCAAAAGACAAAACUCAGCAUUUCUUGUUGAGCAUGGCAUAUAUUACAGAGGGCCCCACCCCCAAAAAAGAAAGUUAAGUUCCUGGAGUAUAAGAUUUAGGCCUUUGUUUAGAAAUGAGGAACUAGGUGUGGUUGAAGGAGAAGAGGAUGGAAGUGGAGAUAUUUAAAAUGUAA